GGCCCAGAUCAAAGGCGCGCGCGGACAGCCUAGAUCUCACGCGUGCGAACGGUCCAGAUUUGAUCACGCACGGACGGCCCAGAUCGCAUCGCGAUGGACGGCUCAGAUUAAUUUCUAAUUUAAUCGCGAUCGGACGACCCAAAUUAAAUCAUGAUGGACGGCUCAGAUUAAAAGGGGAGAGUUAUAAAUAAUCGCAUCCACACCCAACCCCAAACCCUAGCCGCCAGAACCCUCGCC
rnacentral:lncRNA from 1 species